rnacentral:rRNA from 1 species
AUUGAACGCUAGCGGGGUGCCUUACACAUGCAAGUCGAACGGAGUGGCGAACGGGUGAGUAAGGUAUCGGAACGUGCCCAGUAGCGGGGGAUAACUACGCGAAAGCGUAGACAAUAACGCAUACUAUUGGAGCGGCCGAUGGCGGAUUAGCUAGUUGGUGGGGGAACGGCUCACCAAGGCGACGGUCCGUAGCUGGUUUGAGAGGACGACCAGCCACACUGGGACUGAGACACGGCCCAGACUCCUACGGGAGGCAGCAGUGGGGAAUUUUGGACAAUGGGGGAAACCCUGAUCCAGCCAGGCCGCGUGUGCGAUGAAGGCCUUCGGGUUGUAAAGCACUUUUGGCAGGAAAGCGGUACCUGCAGAAUAAGCACCGGCUAACUACGUGCCAGCAGCCGCGGUAAUAC